rnacentral:rRNA from 1 species
CUUGAUUGUCAUACCACCCUGAACACACCCGAUCUUGUCUGAUUUUGGAAGCUAAGCAGGGCCGGGCCUGGUUAGUACUUGGAUUGGAGAUAUUUAUGUCCAGUAACCUUAUCUAACCUAGUUUCCAUAAAGU